AUUGAACGCUGGCGGCAUGCCUAACACAUGCAAGUCGAGCGGAUGAAGUGAGCUUGCUCCUGUAUUCAUCGGCGGACGUGUGAGUAAUGCCUAGGAAUCUGCCUGGUAGUUGGGGAUAACGUCCGGAAACGGGCGCUAAUAGCGCAUACUUCCUGAUGGUGAAAGUGGGGGAUCUUCCGACCUCACGCUAUCAGAUAAGCCUAGGUCUGAUUAGCUAGUUGGUGGGUUAAAGGUCUACCAAGGCGACGAUCCGUAACUGGUCUGAGAGGAAGAUUAGUCACACUGGAACUGAGACACGGUCCAGACUCCUACGGGAGGAAGCAGUGGGGAAUACUGGACAAAGGGCGAAAGCCUGAUACAGCAAUGCCGCGUGUGUGAAGAAGGUCUUAGGAUUGUAAAGCAAUUUAAGUUGGGAGGAAGGGCAGUAAGUUAAUAACUUGCUGAUUUGACGUUACCAACAGAAUAAGCACCGGCUAACUUCGUG
rnacentral:rRNA from 1 species